AUUGAACGCUGGCGGCAUGCCUUACACAUGCAAGUCGAACGGUAACGGGCCUUCGGGUGCCGACGAGUGGCGAACGGGUGAGUAAUGCAUCGGAACGUACCUUUCAGUGGGGGAUAACGUAGCGAAAGUUACGCUAAUACCGCAUAUUCUGUGAGCAGGAAAGCAGGGGAUCGCAAGACCUUGCGCUGAUUGAGCGGCCGAUGUCAGAUUAGCUAGUUGGUGAGGUAAAGGCUCACCAAGGCGACGAUCUGUAGCGGGUCUGAGAGGAUGAUCCGCCACACUGAACUGAGACACGGUCCAGACUCCUACGGGAGGCAGCAGUGGGGAAUUUUGGACAAUGGGGGCAACCCUGAUUCAGCCAUGCCGCGUGAGUGAAGAAGGCCUUCGGGUUGUAAAGCUCUUUCGGCCGGGAAGAAAUCGUAUGGGCUAAUACCCUGUGCGGAUGACGGUACCGGCAUAAGAAGCACCGGCUAACUACGUGCCAGCCGCCGCCGUAAUAC
rnacentral:rRNA from 1 species